rnacentral:rRNA from 1 species
UACGGAGGGGGCGAGCGUUAUUCGGAAUUAUUGGGCGUAAAGGGCGCGUAGGCGGCUUGAUGUGUCAAAGGUGAAAUCCCUCGGCUCAACUGAGGAACUGCCUUUGAAACUGUCUGGCUUGAGGCCGGGAGAGGGUAGCGGAAUUCCCAGUGUAGCGGUGAAAUGCGUAGAUAUCGGGAGGAACACCUGAGGCGAAGGCGGGUUACUGGGCUGAUACUGACGCUGAUGCGCGAAAGCCAGGGGAGCAAACGGG